UAGCCUGGUGGUUAAGGCUAUGGAUUGCCAAUCCAAAGACGGUGGGUUCGAUUCCCGU
rfam:Aedes albopictus isolate Foshan contig115121, whole genome shotgun sequence.